CUGCAUGCCCCCCGAAUUUCCACCAGUUGCUGUUUGCUAAGAGGGGCUGCGGGAUGUCUCAGGCCAGAAGGCCAGUGUGCAAGCAUACAAAGCAGUGGAGAUCGCACUCGUAGAAGCUCCACCACCCAUGAGGUGCAGUGUAGUGCAACAGCUCUCCUCCACUGCCCUCAUCUGCACGAGAGCAGAUCCCUGACCCUUGGAGGAUCGUUCUGAGGGCUGGUCAGAGGGACUCCCUUAGGAGUUUGAUGAGCAAGAGCAGGCUUUGUAGCUAGCCCAGGGUAGCAAGGUCAUGCAAGAAGUUCGGGGAACCAAAACUACCCAGGUCAAUGCCGAGGCUGCAACUGCAUCAGCAUGCUGCAAGUCUGCUCUGCUGUUGCUUGGGGGUGCAUGGCUUUUUGGAGAGAUUUAAGUAAUACUGCACAUUGCUGGUGUUACACUGUCAUAAGACCUGCAAGUAUGCAGGUGUUGCCUCAGCGUUCAGAGGAUUUCUCAUCUCUGCUACGGAAGUGUUUUCUCUUUCAGUACAGUGGGAUCUGGAAUGAGCAGGAGAAUUCUGAGCCAGUCCUGUACAUCCAGGUCUGGCACAGGACUAAACAGGCCUCUUUCAAAAGCUGUAUUUCUAUAACAGAACAAACCUUUUUAAGAAAAAAAAUUACACCUUCUGCUGUUAUUCUUACUUUCUCUGGCCGUUGUUAAUGAUUCUUUGCUGUUGUGCCAUCUGUGGGUAAUGAAAACUGGAUAACUGCAGGCUCCCACAUGGAUAAAAGGCAUUGUCUGUGGGGCUGAAAGCACUGUAUUUUUCCCUGGUGAAUUUCUGCUUCUACUUCUCAGAUGUGGGGGAUUCCCAUGAAGAAUUUUUCUUCUCUUGCAACUAUUGCUGGCUUAUCUGAAUGCAGGAAGGAGUGAGCAUCUGGCAUAGGGACUGGUGACACACUUCAGCAACACGGGGUGCCAGGGAUGGCGAAAACUGGCGCCUCUGAG